AUUGAACGCUGGCGGCAGGCCUAACACAUGCAAGUCGAGCGGAUGAGUGGAGCUUGCUCCAUGAUUCAGCGGCGGACGGGUGAGUAAUGCCUAGGAAUCUGCCUGGUAGUGGGGGACAACGUUUCGAAAGGAACGCUAAUACCGCAUACGUCCUACGGGAGAAAGCAGGGGACCUUCGGGCCUUGCGCUAUCAGAUGAGCCUAGGUCGGAUUAGCUAGUAGGUGAGGUAAUGGCUCACCUAGGCGACGAUCCGUAACUGGUCUGAGAGGAUGAUCCGUCACACUGGAACUGAUACACGGUCCAGAAUCCUACGGGAGGCAGCAGUGGGGAAUAUUGGACAAUGGGCGAAAGCCUGAUCCAGCCAUGCCGCGUGUGUGAAGAAGGUCUUCGGAUUGUAAAGCACUUUAAGUUGGGAGGAAGGGCAGUAAGUUAAUACCUUGCUGUUUUGACGUUACCAACAGAAUAAGCACCGGCUAACUUCGUGCCAGCAGCCGCAGUAACAC
rnacentral:rRNA from 1 species